GUACACGCUGUGACUAGCAUAUCAAUAAGCGGAGGAAAAGAAACUAACAAGGAUUCCCCUAGUAACGGCGAGUGAAGCGGGAAGAGCUCAAAUUUGAAAUCUUAAAGGGUUUCCCUUUACGAAUUGUAGUUUAAAGAAGUGUUUUCUGUUGAGGUUUUGGUAAAAGUUCUUUGGAAUAGGACAUCAUAGAGGGUGAGAAUCCCGUAUUUGACCUUUACUUUCAACUUUGUGAUACACUUUCAAAGAGUCGGAUUGUUUGGGAAUGCAGUCCAAAAUGGGUGGUAAAUUUCAUCUAAAGCUAAGUAUUGGCGAGAGACCGAUAGCGAACAAGUACCGUGAGGGAAAGAUGAAAAGAACUUUGAAAAGAGAGUUAAACAGUACGUGAAAUUGUCAAAAGGGAAGCGUUUGACACCAGUGUUGUUUUUCUGAAAAUCAAUUAAAGAACUGUUUAUGCUAAGUUGUUUAGACUUUAUCAGCUAACUGUUUAGUUUUGAGCUUUUCUUUAAUGCACUUUUCAGUUAACAAGUCAACAUCAAUUUCUUUUGCUGUAAAAAAGCUUGAGGAAGGCGGCUUGAGAUUCGUCUUAAGUGUUUAUAGCCUCUUGCCUAUGCAGUCGGAGAGAUUGAGGUCUGCAGCGUAGAUCCUUCGGGGCUAAAUGCAUUUGUGCUAAGUUAUAGCAUUUUAUAGACAACUUGUUGACUAUGAUUUGUCUUGUAGCUUACUCGCUUAUGUUAUUUUACCUACGCUUAGGAUGUUGACGAGACUGUCGAUCUC
rnacentral:rRNA from 1 species